rnacentral:rRNA from 1 species
ACUGCUCAGUAACACGUGGACAACCUACCCUAUGGAGGGGGAUAACCCCGGGAAACUGGGGAUAAUACCCCAUAGACUAUAGAUGCUGGAAUGCUUUGUAGUUGAAAGGUCCGCCGCCAUAGGAUGGGUCUGCGGCCGAUUAGGUUGUUGUUGGGGUAACGGCCCAACAAGCCUGUAAUCGGUACGGGUUGUGGGAGCAAGAGCCCGGAGAUGGAUUCUGAGACACGAAUCCAGGCCCUACGGGGCGCAGCAGGCGCGAAAACUUUACAAUGCGGGAAACCGUGAUAAGGGAACUCCGAGUGCCCGUAAAAUCGGGCUGUCCAUCUGUUUAAAUAACAGGUGAAGAAAGGGCCGGGCAAGACCGGUGCCAGCCGCCGCGGUAAUACCGGCGGCUCGAGUGGUGGCCACUAUUACUGGGCUUAAAGCGUUCGUAGCUGGUCUGUUAAGUCUCUGGGGAAAUCUACUGGCUUAACCAAUAGGCGUCUCAGGGAUACUGGCAGACUAGGGACCGGGAGAGGUGAGAGGUACUCCAGGGGUAGGAGUGAAAUCCUGUAAUCCUUGGGGGACCACCUGUGGCGAAGGCGUCUCACCAGAACGGCUCCGACAGUGAGGGACGAAAGCUGGGGGAGCAAACCGGAUUAGAUACCCGGGUAGUCCCAGCCGUAAACGAUGCGCGUUAGGUGUAUCGGUGACCACGAGUCACCGACGUGCCGAAGAGAAAUCGUGAAACGUGCCGCCUGGGAAGUACGGUCGCAAGGCUGAAACUUAAAGGAAUUGGCGGGGGAGCAC